AAAUCUCGUCCGGUAGUAUAUGC
rnacentral:miRNA from 1 species